GACAGAGGUGCCAAGCGUUAGGCGGAAUCACUGGGCUUAAAGCGUGUGUAGGCGGGCCGUUAAGUAUCUUGUGAAAUCCCCCGGCUCAACCGGGGAAUGGCUGGAUAUACUGGCGGUCUUGAGCAGUCUAGGGGCAGAUGGAACAGACGGUGGAGCGGUGAAAUGCGUAGAUAUCGUCUGGAACGCCAAAGGUGAAGACAGUCUGCUGGGGACUUGCUGACGCUGAGACACGAAAGCCAGGGGAGCGAACGGG
rnacentral:rRNA from 1 species